UGGGAAACAGAGCAAGAUCGUAUCUCAAAAAAAGAAGUACCUUCCUGAGCAGUAUGAGGAUUACAUGAGAUAAUCCACAGAAACUGUUUUGCUUGGUGCAGAGUAAACACCAAGGGUUUCUUCCCAUUAGUUUUAAAGGAGUUUUACUUAUUCAGCAUGUUAAGUGCCUUCUGCACUUCCGGCAUUGGAGGAGAGAGAGUGACAAAUAGAAUUGUGUCCCAGCCCUCUCAAAGCUUCCAAACUAGGGAGGAGAAACUAGUCUUUUAGAGUACAUUUCCAGAGAGAAGGGGGUGCUGUGAAAUGAUCUAUUUCACAACAGACUAAUUUUACAGGUGGGAAAACAAGCUCAGAGAGGUUCAGUGAUUUGCCUCAGGGCACACAGCUAGUUUGCUAGAGGAACCUAACUGGAGUUAGAAUUCUCCAGGGGAGGAGUUUCUCCAGCGGAUCUUGCCUGCCAUGGUUUUCCAGAUUCCAGGAUCAAGGUGAGAACAGAAACGCAUGAGAAGCUCAGGGAAGAUGGCCACGUGUUUCUCAGCUCCACAGGGAAACCUUGAGCAGUGGAAUUUAACCAAUGGGUUUGGGUUAGGCGCCCUUCCCCUACCCUAGUCCAACCUGCAGCAAGGAAACCAAGGCUGAUUCCAGCCCGGGCUUUUUUCUCCUGGGAAGGUCCUCCUUGGGUCUGGACAGGCUCGGAGGUGACCUGCCUAGAGGUGGGCGAUCUAGCCGCACCUUUCUAGGACUACAGAGCUUCAGUUUAACUUUGCAGGAGUUUGUUAGGAAUGAACUAGACACGCACCCUCCGCCCAGCUCCGUCCCGCCUCCUGCAAGCCUGAACUCUUAGAAUAAUUAACCACUGACUGCAGGAUCCUGGCCUCUGCCAGGGCCCGCCCUACCCAACCUGUGUGUUCGAGGCAGGAACUUGCAACACUGAGCAACAAGAAUGAUGAAAUUUUUAUCCACUUGGCAAAUAUUUGCUCGGCGCCCCCUCUGUGUCAGGAACAGUUGGAAAUGCGUUUCCCAACCUUGCCUAACCAGCUGCCCUGGAAUGUUUUCCACUUCCUGGGUCAUUGCCUCCAGAGAUCAAAGCCCCCAUCCACACAGUGGGCUGAAUAUGGAUCCAUGCAGCGAUCUGGUCCUGGUGCUGUGGAAUCAGCUUUGCACAAGGCCCCAGAAGGUCUGCGUUCCAGAGCCUUCCUGUUGGGGCCUCAGUCUUCUCAUCUGAAAAAUGGGAGCAAACUCAGUUCUGCCAUGCCCAGUGUGGGUGUGAUGUCACAUCAGAUGGAGUCUCGCUCUGUCACCCAGGCUGAAGUGCAAUGGCAAGAUCUCAGCUCACUGCAACCUCCACCUCCCAGUUUCAAGCGAUUCUUGUGCCUCAGCCUCUGGAGUAGCUGGGAUUACAGGUGCCCACCACCACACCUGGCUGAUUUUUGUAUUUUUAGUAGAGACGGGGUUUCACCAUGUUGGUCAGGCUGGUCUCAAACUCCUGACCUCAAGUGUUCUGCCUGCCUUGGCCUCUCAAAGUGCUGGGAUUACAGGCCUGAGCCACUGUGCCCGACCACCAUGUUGUAUUGUUACUGUUACUGCUCUCCUGUCCUGCACCUGCCCUGCCUGCCUCCCUUGGCUGGGCUGUAAAACCUUGAGGGGUAACGUAUCUUAUUCAUGUUUCUUGUCCUGGUACCAGCACAGCAACUGACAUGGAUGGGGGGUUAGGGGCUCAGAAAGCAUUGCCCUAAAAUAUGGCGCUCUGACAUGAAGCAGCCUCAAGGUCUAUCUGACCUCCCUGCCUCCUUCUCUGAAUCCUCUGUCUCUCUCAAAGUGCAGGAUGACGCUGUUCUCUGAAGUUUCUUUAUCUGCCUAGAAACGGGACCUGCCAAAGGGGAACACAAUUACCUUCCCUGGAAUAUCAUUAGCUAGAGGUUAAAACUCAUAUCCUAGAGGAUAUGAGACUGAACAUUAAACACCACACCUACAGCCCAGAUAAACUUCAUCCCAAACCAUUAUCUGCUCUCUUUCCCUUUCAAUGUCCAAAGAAAUUAUUAAUUAUCAUCUGGACGCUGGACUCAUUCAUUUCCCCCCUAAAAACCAUUGACUGUCCUUCAAAUUGCCACGUGUCCCCCAUCUCUCCUUCCCCCGUGAAGAAGGGCGCAUGCACCUGUACCCCACUGGGUUAUUGGGUAACUUCUGUGAUUCCCUCAUGCUCUGCACGUUGAAAUAAAUUUUGUCUUUUCUCCAA